rnacentral:rRNA from 1 species
CACUGAGGCGUGAUGACGAGGCACUACGGUGCUGAAGCAACAAAUGCCCUGCUUCCAGGAAAAGCCUCUAAGCAUCAGGUAACAUCAAAUCGUACCCCAAACCGACACAGGUGGUCAGGUAGAGAAUACCAAGGCGCUUGAGAGAACUCGGGUGAAGGAACUAGGCAAAAUGGUGCCGUAACUUCGGGAGAAGGCACGCUGACAUGUAGGUGAAGUGAUUUACUCAUGGAGCUGAAGUCAGUCGAAGAUACCAGCUGGCUGCAACUGUUUAUUAAAAACACAGCACUGUGCAAACACGAAAGUGGACGUAUACGGUGUGACGCCUGCCCGGUGCCGGAAGGUUAAUUGAUGGGGUCAGCGCAAGCGAAGCUCCUGAUCGAAGCCCCGGUAAACGGCGGCCGUAACUAUAACGGUCCUAAGGUAGCGAAAUUCCUUGUCGGGUAAGUUCCGACCUGCACGAAUGGCGUAAUGAUGGCCAGGCUGUCUCCACCCGAGACUCAGUGAAAUUGAACUCGCUGUGAAGAUGCAGUGUACCCGCGGCAAGACGGAAAGACCCCGUGAACCUUUACUAUAGCUUGACACUGAACAUUGAGCCUUGAUGUGUAGGAUAGGUGGGAGGCUUUGAAGCGUGGACGCCAGUCUGCGUGGAGCCGACCUUGAAAUACCACCCUUUAAUGUUUGAUGUUCUAACGUGGAUCCGUAAUCCGGGUUGCGGACAGUGUCUGGUGGGUAGUUUGACUGGGGCGGUCUCCUCCUAAAGAGUAACGGAGGAGCACGAAGGUUGGCUAAUCCUGGUCGGACAUCAGGAGGUUAGUGCAAUGGCAUAAGCCAGCUUGACUGCGAGCGUGACGGCGCGAGCAGGUGCGAAAGCAGGUCAUAGUGAUCCGGUGGUUCUGAAUGGAAGGGCCAUCGCUCAACGGAUAAAAGGUACUCCGGGGAUAACAGGCUGAUACCGCCCAAGAGUUCAUAUCGACGGCGGUGUUUGGCACCUCGAUGUCGGCUCAUCACAUCCUGGGGCUGAAGUAGGUCCCAAGGGUAUGGCUGUUCGCCAUUUAAAGUGGUACGCGAGCUGGGUUUAGAACGUCGUGAGACAGUUCGGUCCCUAUCUGCCGUGGGCGCUGGAGAACUGAGGGGGGCUGCUCCUAGUACGAGAGGACCGGAGUGGACGCAUCACUGGUGUUCGGGUUGUCAUGCCAAUGGCACUGCCCGGUAGCUAAAUGCGGAAGAGAUAAGUGCUGAAAGCAUCUAAGCACGAAACUUGCCCCGA